GUUAUCAAGAAAGGCCGAGGGAAUAGACCCUUUGACGCCUUAGCAACCCUUUCGCCAGAAUGAAGGUGCUACAUUCUACUUCUGUUUUUGCAGAGAUAGAUAA
rnacentral:ncRNA from 1 species